UACGUAGGGUGCAAGCGUUGUCCGGAAUUAUUGGGCGUAAAGAGCUCGUAGGCGGUUUGUCGCGUCUGCUGUGAAAACUCGGGGCUUAACCCCGGGCCUGCAGUGGGUACGGGCAGACUAGAGUGUGGUAGGGGAGACUGGAAUUCCUGGUGUAGCGGUGAAAUGCGCAGAUAUCAGGAGGAACACCGGUGGCGAAGGCAGCUCGCUGGGACGUGACUGACGCUGAGACGCGAAAGCGUGGGGAGCAAACAGG
rnacentral:rRNA from 1 species